CUGAAUGUAGAGUCUGUGGAGGCUGGGAAAGACAUCCCAGCUCCCUCACCCCCACUGCCCCUGCUCUCGGGAGUACCCCCCCCUCCCCCACUUCCACCUCCCCCACCCAUCAAAGGCCCCUUCCCACCACCUCCACCUCUACCUCUGGCUGCCCCUCUUCCCCAUUCAGUGCCUGACAGCUCAGCCCUCCCCACUAAGAGGAAGACAGUAAAACUUUUCUGGCGUGAGCUGAAGCUGGCUGGGGGCCAUGGAGUCUCUGCAAGCCGCUUUGGGCCCUGCGCCACCCUCUGGGCUUCACUGGACCCUGUCUCAGUGGACACGGCCCGACUGGAACACCUCUUUGAGUCUCGUGCCAAAGAGGUGCUGCCCUCCAAGAAAGCUGGAGAGGGCCGCCGGACAAUGACCACAGUGCUGGACCCCAAGCGCAGCAACGCCAUCAACAUCGGCCUAACCACACUGCCACCUGUGCAUGUCAUUAAGGCUGCUCUGCUCAACUUUGAUGAGUUUGCUGUCAGCAAGGAUGGCAUUGAGGUGAGGUCACCCAGCUAUGGGUGUUGGGGGGAGGUCUGGCCUUCUCCUUUGGUAGGUGGGCAUUUCCUGUCCCUCUGGUGGUGGGCAUGGGCUUGGCAUUUCUGCAGGGCAGUCCCCAGACACUGGGGCCUCCCCUAGAUGACUGAGGGGUCAAGACCAAUGCCUCAGGCCUCAGGCCUGCAUUGAGGGGGCCAUGUCAGGCUCUGGCUACAUCCUCAGAAGCUACUGACCAUGAUGCCCACGGAGGAA
rnacentral:lncRNA from 1 species